rnacentral:rRNA from 1 species
GGUGAACGCUGGCGGUAGGCCUAACACAUGCAAGUCGAACGGCAGCACAGUAAGAGCUUGCUCUUACGGGUGGCGAGUGGCGGACGGGUGAGGAAUACAUCGGAAUCUACUUUUUCGUGGGGGAUAACGUAGGGAAACUUACGCUAAUACCGCAUACGACCUACGGGUGAAAGCAGGGGAUCUUCGGACCUUGCGCGAUUGAAUGAGCCGAUGUCGGAUUAGCUAGUUGGCGGGGUAAAGGCCCACCAAGGCGACGAUCCGUAGCUGGUCUGAGAGGAUGAUCAGCCACACUGGAACUGAGACACGGUCCAGACUCCUACGGGAGGCAGCAGUGGGGAAUAUUGGACAAUGGGCGCAAGCCUGAUCCAGCCAUACCGCGUGGGUGAAGAAGGCCUUCGGGUUGUAAAGCCCUUUUGUUGGGAAAGAAAAGCAGCAGGUUAAUACCCCGCUGUUCUGACGGUACCCAAAGACUAAGCACCGGCUAACUUCGUG